ACAGCAGCCGCCGCGGGAACACGUAGGUGGCAAGCGUUGUCCGGAAUUAUUGGGCGUAAAGGGCUCGCAGGCGGUUUCUUAAGUCUGAUGUGAAAGCCCCCGGCUCAACCGGGGAGGGUCAUUGGAAACUGGGAAGCUUGAGUGCAGAAGAGGAGAGUGGAAUUCCACGUGUAGCGGUGAAAUGCGUAGAGAUGUGGAGGAACACCAGUGGCGAAGGCGACUCUCUGGUCUGUAACUGACGCUGAGGAGCGAAAGCGUGGGGAGCGAACAGGAUUAGAUACCCCAGUAGUCCCUGUCUCUUAUAA
rnacentral:rRNA from 1 species